UGGGGAAUAUUGGACAAUGGGCGAAAGCCUGAUCCAGCCAUGCCGCGUGUGUGAAGAAGGUCUUCGGAUUGUAAAGCACUUUAAGUUGGGAGGAAGGGCAGUUACCUAAUACGUAUCUGUUUUGACGUUACCGACAGAAUAAGCACCGGCUAACUCUGUGCCAGCAGCCGCGGUAAUACAGAGGGUGCAAGCGUUAAUCGGAAUUACUGGGCGUAAAGCGCGCGUAGGUGGUUUGUUAAGUUGGAUGUGAAAUCCCCGGGCUCAACCUGGGAACUGCAUUCAAAACUGACAAGCUAGAGUAUGGUAGAGGGUGGUGGAAUUUCCUGUGUAGCGGUGAAAUGCGUAGAUAUAGGAAGGAACACCAGUGGCGAAGGCGACCACCUGGACUGAUACUGACACUGAGGUGCGAAAGCGUGGGGAGCAAACGGGAUUAGAUACCCUUGUAGUCCCUGAGCGGGCUGGCAAGGCGCAU
rnacentral:rRNA from 1 species